AGAAUCAACGCUGGCGGCGUGCCUAACACAUGCAAGUCGCACGAGAAAGGGGAGCAAUCCCUGAGUAAAGUGGCGCACGGGUGAGUAACACGUGAAUCAUCCUACCUCCGAGUGGGGAAUAACCUAGAGAAAUCUGGGCUAAUACCGCAUAACACUUACGAGUCAAAGCAGCAAUGCGCUUUGGAGAGGAGUUCGCGGCCGAUUAGCUAGUUGGCGGGGUAAUGGCCCACCAAGGCGAUGAUCGGUA
rnacentral:rRNA from 1 species